rnacentral:rRNA from 1 species
GACAGAGGUGCCGAGCGUUAGGCGGAAUCACUGGGCUUAAAGCGUGUGUAGGCGGAUCGUUAAGUACCUUGUGAAAUCCCACGGCUCAACCGUGGAACUGCUUGGUAUACUGGCGAUCUUGAGCCACCUAGGGGCAACCGGAACAAAUGGUGGAGCGGUGAAAUGCGUAGAUAUCAUUUGGAACGCCAAUGGUGAAAACAGGUUGCUGGGGGUGUGCUGACGCUGAGACACGAAAGCCAGGGGAGCGAACGGG